UUUUGAUUGAAAUCUGUUUAAUCUACUUCCUCUUUCUCUUUUUCAAGGAAGUUAAAAUUCUUUCGUAGAAGUCGCCCGGGCAUGUCCUAUUUAUUUUUUGUCUGCGGAUUAAAAAUGGAAGCUACUUGGCUUAUAGGUGCAUUAUCAAGUGGAGCGUAACAGAAUGACGCCAAGGACAACAAAUUUAAAGUAAUCACAGACGUUCGUUCGUUCGUUUCCUGGCUAAAAUAAAACAAGAUGAUAAAAACUUUGCAGCAGAUACAGGAGAAAAUAAUAUACAGUUGCACUACAAAGAGUAUCCAACAUUCACCAACACAAAGGAAUAAGCAGCGGCGAAUCGGAUAGAAAUAAGUAUCUCUGGAGGUAAAGGCAUUUAGUACAGGAAUAUUUAACAGAGUACAUAAGAAAAUGCGUCUGAACAGAUAAACGCAAAUGGUGAUAAUACGAGAAGAAACAAAUAGACGAAUGCAAAUUUCAUUGUAAUUCCGAUCAGAUAUAGACAAUAUGGUCACAUCACCACGAAAUGAGAGAGGGCGAUACAUUUAUCAAGUACAAAGAGGUAAGAAGCUUAAGUUAAGGUAACGGUUGCCAAGAGCUGAAGUUCGUUCAAGAUUUAUGUGACAAUUCCUGAAAUGAGGGAGUCGAAAGUGAAGAAUAUUUAGAAAUAUAAGAAAUCAACAAAUAGGUACUCUUUAUCAGUGUUUGUUCCGGAGAUAAAAUGAAUGUAACUUGUACGAAGUUGUGAUUAAAAAAUACCAUUAUUUGAAGUUUCCUCGCUGUUUAAUAAGGAAAUGUCCAUUUGAAUAUAUUAACAACUGGUCAUACAUUGUCUUGUCCUACUGUCGCACGGAUUGUCCACAAUAUCAAGUAAAAUGUGUUAUAUGAAGUAUUUUACUGUCACCUAUAACCUCAAAGUUUUGUCAGAAGAGAAAUAACUGCAUAUUUACGACGAUUCGAUAGAUAUAAAUGAUAUUUUUGUAACACUCAUUUCUACAUAGAUAAAAGGAACGGUGAAAUGGACGUAUACCGCUUUAGUGAUGUGUUAUAUAAAGUUUUAUUUCUAGUGAAUAAUUCUGGAUUUGGAUUUUAUACAUUGUAAAAAUGGAUUAUAGUCUCGAAGGUAGGCGUUUUUUCAAAUAUAUUUGUACAGUAUUAAAUAUAAUGCUAUGUCUACAAAAUAUGUUUGAUUUACUUUGAAUUUUUAGUUUCGUGUUUCUUGUACUUCUGGUCUGCAAAAAUUUUCUACAAUACAGUUAAAAAGAGAUAACUGUUGAUGAUAUACUGUAGAACUAAUUAUACUUGCUUCCCUUUAGUUGAAGAUCACAAAUAAAUGCUGAACACCACUAAUC
rnacentral:lncRNA from 1 species